rnacentral:rRNA from 1 species
AUACGGAGGGUGCAAGCGUUACUCGGAAUCACUGGGCGUAAAGCGCGCGCAGGCGGGCUGAUAAGUUGGAUGUGAAAGCCUACGGCUCAACCGUAGAACUGCAUCCAAAACUGUCAGUCUAGAGUGUGGGAGAGGAAGAUGGAAUUAGUUGUGUAGGGGUAAAAUCCGUAGAGAUAACUAGGAAUACCAAAAGCGAAGGCAAUCUUCUGGAACACUACUGACGCUGAGGCGCGAAGGCGUGGGGAGCAAACAGGAUUAGAUACCCUUGUAGUCC